GACGAACCGUACGAACGUUAUUCGGAAUCACUGGGCUUAAAGGAUGCGUAGGCGGCGCGACAAGUUGGGUGUGAAAUCCCUCGGCUCAACCGAGGAACUGCGCCCAAAACUGUCGUGCUCGAGGGAGACAGAGGUGAGCGGAACUUAGGGUGGAGCGGUGAAAUGCGUUGAUAUCCUAAGGAACACCGGUGGCGAAAGCGGCUCACUGGGUCUCUUCCGACGCUGAGGCACGAAAGCUAGGGUAGCGAACGGG
rnacentral:rRNA from 1 species